GUACCUUUUAGGUCAGGCUGCAGUGCCAGAGGACUUGCUUGCUCAUAACUAGGGCCACCUGCCCCCCUCAGGCAACCCUUUUGACCAUGAGCAACACGG